CGAAAUGUAUAUAAGAAAUACUCAAGUUAAUAAAAAAAAAAAAGAAAAAAAAAGUAUUGUGCUUUAUCAUGAGAGUCUGUAAGUCAGUCAUUUAUUACAUAAAUUUGGGAUAAAUAAUUUGAUAACAGUUUCUUCAUCAGUCAGACUGAUUUAUAUAUUUCAAUUAUGUUCUCAGAAUCAGAAGUAAAAACCAAAAUACAAAUGUGAUUCCUCCCUUCUCUACAGUAUGAAGUUUUGUGAAUAAAAGUUAGGAGAGAAAAAUACACAAUGGAAAUAUUUUAGAUUUUUUUUUUGCUAUUUUUCAAAAGCAUGUAGGAAAAUAUUCAGUUGAAUGGGAAUCUGAGUAUUGUAUAUCCAUUGUUCUUUCCAGUGAUCAGCCAUUUACUUUCAUUGGUUGCCUCUGAGAGCUAACAUCCUGAACAUAGACUCCCUCAUGCAUUUAGCUAAUGAAACCUGGAUUGGGAAAAUCCAAUAAAGCCAUUUAGUCAGGAUUUUUUAUUUUCUGACCUUCUUCACUCUCUUUUUCUCCUUAGAAGAAGGCAGCCUUUUAGAGAAGACUUUUCUACAUAAAAUCCUAAAUCCACAGUACUCAUUCUCCAACAUUACCUUUUAUGAUCUCAUACUACAGCCACCACCCCUGCCCUUGUCACUCAUAGGUCAUAUUCAUGGAAACUAAGGACUGUCCCUGUGUUCCGGAACAAUUAUAAAUCUGUAAUCUAACAUGGAAUGUCUGUUAACACAGCUUCACUUAUUCCUUCCUUCAAAAGCACACAUGAGAAAACAUCACAAAUCUGGCCUGAGGAGAUGGCUUAAGAAUCAAGGAAUCAGGACGUAGAAAUGGAAAGAUUGGGUGAGCAUCAUUGUAAUACGUGAUGUGAAAUUCCAAAAAAAAAAAUAGAUAAAAUAUAUUAUGUUGAAAAAUAAACAUAAUAUUUAUUUAGUACCCACAUAAUGUCAGAUACAGAAGUGUAUUUCUAUGAUCCAGUGUCUCUUUAGUAAGAUGAGAGACAGAAUGAGAUUUCCUGGAAGUCUAUGGACUUCCUAGCAUGUGUGCAAUGGUAAGCAAGAGACUUUGUCUCAAACAACUUUGAAUGUGAGGAGCAGUAUCCUAGGCUGUCUGCUACCUUCCUUACUCAUAUGUGGUGUGUGUAUCUCCCACAGCAAACACACAAAACACACAUACAUAAAGUACAGAAUUCUAUUCAUUACUUCUCUCUUACUGUGAUAAAAUAUUAUAACCAAAGCAACUUACAGAAGAAAUAUUUUUCUUUGGUUGAUGGCUGCAAAAAUAUAUAGAGUCCAUAAUGACAGGAAUGUAUACUAGUAGUUUGCUGAAACAGUAUGCUGCCCACACUUUUAUCUAUACACAGGAAGCUGAGGUCAAAAAACAGGAAAUAGUGGUGGCUAUAAUCCUUCAAAACAAUCCCUGUGACAUACUUCCUCCAACAAGACUGUGCCUUGUAAACAUUUCAUAACCUCCACAAGCACCACCAGAAAUCAGGGACAAAGUGUUUCAAUACACGAUCUUAUGGGAAAUAUUUCUUAUUCAGAUCUCUCUCUCUCUCUCUCUCUCUCUCUCUCUCUCUCUCUCUCUCUCUCUCUCUCUCUCUCUCUCUCUCUCUCUCGCUUACACACAGUGAUUUUCUUCCCCAUCCUCUCCCUUGGUUUCUUCUACCACUGACCUCUGAUAGCAGCCCUGCUAUUGGCCCUGUCUGAUGGGAUGUACUUGUUCCUUUUGCCCCUGCAGUAAUCUGUCUUGCCAGUGACAUCUUUCUCAAUGCUCUACUACUUACAUUUUCAUCUUAAAACAAGCAGCAUAAUGCAGUCAUCUAUUGGCUCAGGCAUCUGGGCUGCGCUGUGUCAUUAGGCCAAUUGCUGUACCCUGGUGCUUUGUUUUAGCUACCUUACCGAAAAUGAAAACAUCACCCUAAUCAUUAUAAUUUUAUUAUGAGAAUGAAGCAUAAAUGGUCAAUAUUUGGUUUCUUAUAGGACUACAAUAUUAUUAAAUUUGCUUUUGGAAAAUAAACACAUGAAUUCUCAUGGAAGUUAAAAUCAGUUCAAAAGAAAAAAGAAUAUUGGAUGAUCAGACAAGUAGGGGAAAACUGAUAUAUGCACAAAUGCUUGCUAGUAAGAGUUAGAAGAGAUAAAAGAUGUCUUUGUUGUUUGUGGUUUUUAUUCAUUUUGUUUUUAAGUAAUCUUAUGCUAUCUGUGCUAAGAUGUAUCUUACUUAUUUUCUGUUAUCAAAAAGUACAGAGGAAUGCUCUCCUGUCAUAUAUGAGUUUGUACACGACUCUCCUUGCUUUUAAGACAAAUAGGUAAACAUGGCCAUUUCCAUACUUUGAGCACAUAAAUACUUAACUUAUGCAGAUGUAUGCACCCUGCUUUGGAUGUUAAUUCUUCUAAAAUUGUAAUUUUGGUUUAAGGAAGAGGUUUAUAAUUUGCAGCCAGGCUCUGCAUGAAAAUACGAUCCUUGUGCCUCAGCCUGUUGAGUGCAAAGAUUACAGAUAUGAAACAUUACACUUUUAUGUGCAAUUUGAAGGCUUGUGACAUAGUAGGUAAGGUGGAGAUAAAAGUCUUCCAAAGCAGUGGCACCUGACUAACCAACUGAAUGGUGAGUGGAAGGUCUGAUGACUUGAAGUAGGGUGUCCCACAUUCUGUGUGCAUGGAAGACUGAAGCGUAGGAGAGACUUAUUGUCCCUUCUUUAUCAUCCAGUCAUAUGUAUACACUUUAAGACAGAAUGCAAUAUUUCUUGUAUAUAUUUCAAUACAGAGAAGAAAAUGCAUAGCUGUAAAUUUGAAAUCUACAUCAUAAUCCUUGCUGCUAAGGCUCAGGGCUGCUUAUACAUGAGGGUAGAUCAAAGAUUGCUAGAGACAGAGGAGAAUUGCAAAGAAAUGCUAUUUUCUAAACAUAAAGGCAGAUGCACAUAUACAUACAGAGACAUUGAAAAAACACCAAGAAGAAAAUUAUAUCAGACAAGGAUAUCCCUGUGGCUUUCUAAAGGAAAUGAGACUUGAAAGAGCCUUAGAUAAUUCAGUGACAUUGUUCACCCUGUAAUUUCUGAUGUACCUCCCACCUAAGCUAAGGAGAUGUGCUACAAACACAGGAUAUGAAUUCAUCAGAAUGUUUCUUUUAGAGCUUCAUAUAAUUUCAUAGUCAGGUUCUCAGAGCUGAGUGAGUAUUGUUUUUUCAGAGAUGAUUCGCUGAGGGCCAGAGAGGGCAAGAGACUUGCUAGGGGUAAUAUAGCUAAUUAGCUCUUUCUUAGAUACAGGUUCUUGCUUCUUAAUGCCACAGUAUCAGGCAGGAGCCGAAGGCCAUUGCAAAUGAAAGACUUAAAUUCUUUCAAGUCUUCAUGUCAUCAAAUAUGCUGGGGAAUAGAUUCACUUCUCUGUACCCAUAUGUUCUCCAAAGUUUGGAUGCACUUGACCCCACAAGCCUAACUCAUGGGGAACAGGAAAGGAUCAGUGCCAAAUAGCCAGCUCAUUUGUGGGGUUACUCAGCAGAGAACUCAGAGCCUAAAAUCAAGAUUUGAAGAGUUUUUCAAAAUUCCAGAAACUUAGACAACAAAUAUUAUGUCUUGACAUGUUAGAUUCUUUUGCCAUUCUUUCCUUACUAUGUGUAAGAACAGCAAAUGCAGAACCCGGAAAAAGGUUGGUGUUUAUCCUUUCACAAAGAAGCUGAAAAUACAAUAUCAGUUUUGGUAUCUGUGCCUUCAUAUGGGCUAAGAAAAGUGACUACAUAAAAGUAAGUGGUGUACAAUUGUCCUUUUGUGAAUGUAUGUAUGUGUUUGUGUGUAUGUGUGUGUGUGUGUGUGUGUGUGUGUGUUUUAGUGUGUUCACGUGCACAUGUAUGAAUAUGCAUGCAUAUGUAUGUGAACAUAUGUGGUGGUCAGACAUGAAUUCAAAUCCUGUUCCUCAGGAAUAAACUUCUGAGACAAGAUCUGACUCUGGGUCUGGACUUCAAUUCAUAUUCUUGAGCUUGACAGGGAGCCAGAUUUGAAUCUAUCCACUUGCCCAGUACUGGUUAAAAUCUCUCCACAUUGGACCUUUUCACAUGGGCUCUGUGGGAUGGAAAACAGGUUGAGGCAAUUUUUAGGCUGAAUCAGUCAGAUAAAAGCAACCAUGCCUUUAUUAAGUAGCACUUGUAUUGACCUAUCAUUUGGAAUACAAUGGUGAAUAGACACCGGACUUCCAUGUCACUCGACCUUUUGAGAAAGAUAACGCUUAUUCAUCAUUCAUGAGUACUGUCUCUUAAGUUUGGUAGGAAGACAAAUAAAACAAAGGCUUACCAUACUGUAAGGCUUAUCAGCUUGGUCAAUCCUAACUAGCUUUAUUGCCAUGGUCCUUUAAGUUUUACUUGGCUUGCUGUGCUCUAGAAGGCUGAUAUUCUCUCUCCUCUUUCUUGCAUUGCUCUGCAUUUAUUUCAAUUACAACUCUAACCUAUGUAAUUGAUGUAUCUGAGAAUGUAUCAAAACAAACACGGGCAUACAAAUAAGUAUAGUUUAUCUUUGCAAUAGAAAUAUAAGAAUACAGAACAUAAUAAUUAUCCAAAUACCUCUGAACUGUUGAAAAUUUAACACGUAUAAAGUAGCUGUAUACUUUUUGAUCUUGGGGAUUUUUCUAUGUAUCUGUUUGCAUGCAAGACAGUCCUCAACAUAAAACAGAGUAGACACUCAGAAAGUUGGAUGGAUAAAUGUAAAUUAGAAGGUUAAUAUAGAUGGUAGUUUUUAUUUGUGCUUAAUAAUAAAGAAACCUGGUAUCAGUAAUUAACAAUAGAGGAAAUUUUUACAUUACAGAGUUUUUGGUGUGCAUCAGAAGCUUCUGGGGUUUGGGUAGGGCUGGAAUAGCAGCAUCAGAUAGGAGGUAGCUCACACAUAUUAAGGGAUGCUAUGGACUUUGGAACUAGUCCAGAUAGUAAAGAGCUUGCUGUGAAAGCACAAAGAUGUCAAGUUAGCCCAGAACCCAUCUUAAAAAUCUGGUGUGUUAUGCAACAUAUAGUAUCAUCUCUGGGAAAGUAGGAAGAGGUGGAUCAAUUGAGCCUACUGGCCAGGCAGGCUACUACAGUUUAUAAGUUCUGGGCAUUCAAAAGAUCUCAAUAUCAAAAAUAAGAUGAAUGAUACCUGAAGUUGACUUCUGAAUUCCACAUACAUUUGAAUAUAUCUACAUCAACAUAAACACACACACACACACACACACACACACACACACACGAGAGAGAGAGAGAGAGACAGAGAGAGAGAGAGACAGAGAGAGAGAGACAGAGAGAGAGAAAAAUAUAUACACACAAAUCUAAUAAGGCAAUUAGUGAGAAUGAAAAUACGUGUUUAAAGAAUUAUUCAUUAUCACUAUUUCCGUGCAACCAUACAAAUCUUAUGACUCAUAAACUUAGCAGAUCUCUAAGUUUUAGAUCAGUGAUUUUUUUGUAUGUUCCUGGAAAGAAACACCAAGUAAACACAGUAAAAUGGUAAUUCUAAUCAUUGAACUUGGAUAUAUAUUUUAAAAAGACAUGUGAGACACCUCUAAGAACCUGCAGAGGGCACAAGUGUUUACAUUCUGGUGUCUAAAUUGGUCUCUGAAUCAGUGUGUACAUAUGUGCUUUAUAUGAAGAAAUAACUGCAUAUGUGCUCAAGGCUAUGUACAGGCCAGAAAACAAGCACACAUAUUUCCCACUCACUCUUCAUCUUAGUUAGUUUGCUCCUGAUGUGGUACACAUAGGUAGCUGACCAGUGAGCUUCAGGGGCACAGCUGUUUAGGAUUUUACAGCACUGAAAUUAAAAGUGAAUGCCAUUGUUCCUGCUUUUUUAUGUGGAUUCUGGCAAUUAAACUCAGUUUUUUUAUAUGGCAAGUUAUGUAUGUUACUGAGUGUUCUUUCCCAGUCCUUUUCUUAGUUAAUUCUCAGUAGAAACACAGCUUUGAUAUUAACAGAACUUAAAAGCUCGACAAAAUUUUAGCAAUGCAUAGAAAUAGCAGUAAAAUUCAAUUAGUCAUCACCGCAAACCUGAUAGAUCUGUGAGUCCAAAUUCAGUUAUAGUGAAAUGCAUUCCAAGCAUGUAUUACCUCCUUCAAAAUUAGUGAAAUGUAUCAAAUUAAAAAUAUUUAUGUCUUUGCUAGCCAGUACUUUAGACAUUAGUUAUUUCUAGUUAUGACAUUUCUAGGCUAUGAGACAAAAUUUCUUCUGGAAAGGAUAGUACCUGCCUUGAGAGCUGACAGGUAGCUAUUUAAUUGACCACUGCAAGAGACGACAUUAUCUUGCUCUAAGGUUCAAUGGCUAUCUGUGAAUAUCAACCUUGUGAGAUCUAGACAAAAAGAUUGCUAUUAAUGUAGAAAGCACUUAGUAUUAUACCUAAAUACACUGGAUACCAUGAAUGUUAAUAUAACUUAUGCAUGUCUUUUAUUGACCAUUAUUUAUUCUUUUAAAUAAUAAUUUCAUGAUAAGUGCUUGUAUUUUGGUAUAUGAUAAGUGCUGGCAAUACAUCAUUUUUUAAAAUGGAAAAACCUAAUUCUCACUAAUAGGAAAAAAUAAAAUUGCUCAGUUAAAAAUGUAAAAUGGGCAGUAGUGUUGCAUGCAUUUAAUCAUAGAAAUCAGGCAAAAGAGGCAGGCUAAACUCUUUAAGUUUGAGGCCACCUUCUGGUCUACAGAGCUAGUUCCAGGACAGCCAGUGGUACACACACACACACACACACACACACACACACACACACUACACACACACACACACACACACACACACACACACACACAAAACCCUAUUUUGUGGGAGAAUGAAAUGGCUCUGGAUUAUAACUUAUUCAGUAAAGUAUCUCUAUUAUAAGCAUAAAACUUUGCGUUUGGCUCCAAAAUUAAUGUAGAAAAGAAAGAAAGAAAGAAGGAAAGAAAGAAAGAGAGAGAGAGAGAGAGAGAGAGGAAGGAAGAGAGAGAGAGAGAGAGAGAGAGAGAGAGAGAGAGAGAGAGAGAGAGAGAGAAGUGCUAAGGAGGCAAAGGCAGAUGGUUCCUUGGGUCCACUCCCUAAUCUACCUUCCCUUGUUAGAAUGCCACAGGUCAGUGUGUAUAUACAACUGAAUACCUACAUGGGAACCUACACAUGAGUAUACAGACAGCACACACAAAUAUGUUGUCAUACUUCUAGAGCACUGUCCCCGCCAGCGGGGACCCAGUUAUUCAGGGUCCCGAAGAGGCUUUCUACCUGUGGGCCAAAAUGGGGGUGAAGAGAAGAAGGAGACCAAGCAAAAGUUCUGUUGUCAAGGUCUCGUUUAUUGGGAUGAACAUUGCAGCUUUUAAGGCUUUCAGGUAGGGGGAGUGACCUUUGUGAAAUAUGAAGGAGGGGGAGAUGAGGGUAUAGGCAGUGAUAGCUGGAGGCAAAGAAGUCAGGCGAUGAGGUCAGGUGGUGGAGACACUGGGUGUUGACUGAGGAGAUAACUGGUAUCUGCUCGAGCUGAGGCAUCCCUUGAAUGUUAUACUCCUGUGCCGUAAAUUCAUGGGAGAGGCUUUAUCCAACAAUCUUAAGAUUUAUGGCAGUCAUCUUCAGGGUGAGUCUCUGUGGCCAAACAGCCCAGAGUCACUUUGAACCAUGCAGUCAAAAAGCGGCUAGGCCCAAAUCCAAUAUGGCUCCAUGAAUCUCCCCCAUUUUUCUUUAAAAAAAAAAACCAUUAGGUGGAAGUAGUGGUCUGAGAGAGAUCAGACAUGCCUCACAGAGUGCCCAGCUCGGCCAUGGCAAGCCACUCUUGCAGUUAGGACCGCACCCCAAUGGCUAGGAAUGAACUUGUGCUGUAACACACCGUUCUGGGCUAUACGUGUGUGUUAUUGGGGGAGAAACUGGGCAGAGGAGCAUUUGACCGGCCUGCACGUUUAAACGGGGUGUAGCCACCUCUGUCUUAGGAUCGACCUCUCAAACCCCAGCCUUAUCUGUCAUAGGAUCACCUUGUCGCCCCCAAGGUUCCUGUCUUAGAUUGGUCAAGGGUCAGAGGAAGUUGCCUGUCCCUGAGGAUAGCUACAUCAGGUCAUCUUCUCAUUCCUCUCACUUGAGCCCAGGGGCGAAAGAGCAAGGGCCAGAUGGCAUUAAUAUAAGAGAUUGUGGAAAUUGAGCCUCUCCCGAUAAGUUGUAGGCACCUCAUCUUGUUCAUUGUCUCUCUGGUUCUACUCAGCUGUUCCGGUCUCCAAGUGAUGAUAAUGUACUGAAACAGAAUUUCUAGGCAAAGCAGAAUCUAUUUGUGAUUUAAUAAAGUGUGUAAGUCGUUGGAAGGCCCAAGGACCAAAGGAAAUCAACAAAAGUAGGCCCACAAGGGGUCCCAAAAUUGAGGGCAACAAGUUUAGGGAGCGAUCUCUGUGGGAUCCGGGACAGACAUAAAAGUCAGUUUCCCUAAUGUUGGUGCGUCGAUGGACAGUGUCACAACCGACAUAUCUUUCAUUAAAACUAGACCCAUGAGGGGCUUCAAUUAGGGGGGUGUUCCAAGGCGAAGUGGACUGUUCAAGGUGCCCUUGUAAUAAUUGUUCCUGCACCAACUGUAGGGCCGCUUGAACCUUUUCUUGAGGCAUGGACCACUGAUCGAUCCAGACUGGAUCAUUUGACUUCUAAGAUAUUUUAUCAGCCUGGAGUGCAGGAGGAACAGCGGUCUCUAUGAAAAAAGGUCAGGAGCUUUGAACUUUGGAGUGUAUCCUGUGUUUGACCUAUCCCUUUUAAAUGUGUGGCAGUAGCCUUAAGGGGCCAGGUUGAGGGCCAGUGUCUAGAGGAGAGCACUGUUGUAUCGGCCCCUGUAUCUAAAAGGCCCUGAAAUUGUUUGCCAUCAAGCCAAAGAGACAUCAUGGGUCUUUCAUCAGUUAAUUUUUGCACCCAAUAAACAUCUGAAGAGCCAGGGGAGGAAGAACCACGCCCCUUUACUUUAUGAGGGAACUGCCCCAUGAAGGGAAGCGGUAAGGCCUGUGCAAUGCGUUGUCCGGCUCUAAGCGUUAAGGGGCCCUGCGUGGCAGUGGCUAGAAAUUUUAUUUCUCCAGAAUAAUCAGCAUCUAUUACAGAGGGAAGGAUGACAAGUCCUUGAAGAGCACUCGAGGCUCGCCCAAUUAUUAAGAAAAACAUGCCAGGCGGCAGGGGCCCAAACUUUCCAGAUUCUAUGAUAACAGUCCCUUCCUCAGGGGUUAUAAUCCUGGUGGUGGAGGAACACAGGUCCACUCCUGCACUUCCUGCUGUUGCCCGGGAUAAGUUGGCGUUGCAGGAGCUUGAUGCUGCACUUGGGGGCGGGUGGUCACCCGUGGAUAGGGGCCCCAUUGUGGGGCCCCCCGCUCGUUUCCCUGGACCACAGGGAGGGUUUGUCCACUAAUGUCAGUCUUAGACUGACAUUCCCUGGCCCAGUGACGGCCUUUCCUGCAGCGGGGACAAACCCUCGGGGCAGUGGGCCAUCCAGCAGGGCUGGGGGACUGGCUAGGUUUUGGGAUGUUGCAUUCUCUAGCAAAAUGACUGGGUUGUCCACAUUUGAAACAUGUUCUGCCUCUAGGGUGACCAGAAUCUCCAGCUCUUUGGAACACAGCCCCAAUUGCCAGGCUGAUAGAUUUAGAUACUUGGUGAGAAAAAGAGUCGACAUCCUUGCAAAGUUUAAUCAUGCCUGGGAUAUCAAGGUCUUUGGUCUUGCCUCGAAGUGCGACUCUACACGCCGAGUUAGCAUUUUCGAGAGCAAGCUGUCUAACGAGAAGCCCUUCACUUUCAUUUUGACCUAGGAUUCUUUCAGCUGCUUCUUGUAGUCUCCCUACAAAUUGAGCAUAGGGCUCUUGUGCCCCCUGGAUUAUUUUAGUUAAGGGGGUGGUGAGCGCCCCUGUAGCGGGGACUGCUCUCCAAGCGGACAAAGCCGCCUGCGCCGUUUGUGCGAGUACACCGGGAGACAGCCCCAGCUGUUUUUCCUCAGAGGCAAAUGAGCCCCUCCCACAUAGCUUAUCUGCCGUCCAGGAAGCAGAUUUACUUAAGGGAUUGUUUCUGUUUCUAGCAGCAAGGCUCUCCGCUUUAUCAAUAAAUUCAUAUUUCCAAGUCAAAUAUUGUCCUCUAGUGAGGACAGAUUGUACUACCUUGGUCCAUUCACUAGGGGUCAAAUACCCAGACCCCGAAAGUCCUUCUAGGAUAGCCAAGGUAAAGGGGGCAUUCAUACCAUAAUUUUUUAACAGCUGAAUGUAAUUCCUUUAUGUGUUUGAGUUUAAGUUUCUUGUAUACGGGACACGAGGUCCCACCCUCAUCCUGAUUAGGGCUUUCCUCUUCCGAAUCUGAGGGUCCCUCCUCAUAGUCAUUUUCUUCUUCACUUUCUUGUUCCUCAUUACGGUUAUGAUUAGUACUGUCUGGCUCGCGCUCGUCUCUGGCCGACCUAUUUAGUGUUCUAAUACUGUUUAACUCAGACUCAUCCCAGGCCUGUCUGGCGCGUGCCCUAGUCAUAACUGGGAAAGUUAGUUUUGGUUGGGGUUUUCUACUGGCCUUAGCUGGCCCUUUUUGGGCAUACUGUCCCUUAGUCAUGGUCUCUUGUAAAUCCUGGAUUUCUAGUGUAAGAUCCCCCAAUUCCUGCUGUAGGUGUAAGAUCUGUUUAAGCCCAGUAAUUUGUGCUUGAAGUGCAGUCUUAGUCUGAGUCAGUUCCUCCACUACUGCGACCGGUAGAGGUGUAGGUGGGGCUGACGAUAUAGGGGGUAGAUAAGGUGGGAGGCAGACAGGCCCAGACCUCCGAGUGAAGAAGAUCUGAGUCUCCUGUGGCUCGGGACCAUAUCUCUCUUUCUCAUACCUGGCAGCUUCCUCCUCCAAUUCGGCCUCGGAGGCGGGAUCUAGACCUGACUCAGAGCAUUUUUUUUUCCCAGAAAAUUCUUUAAGAGAAGGAUAAAUGGUCUUUGAAUUUUUGGACAUCUUGGGGUCUUCUAGAGAGCAUAAGGCUUUGGAUGAGGGAUUUCCCUCACCCCCAGGCAUAUCAAUAACAAUGGAAGGGCAGGGAGAAUGCGGCUCCCCGUUUUCUUUUUCCUUGUUAGGUGAAGCCGGCCGGGAGGCUUGUAAGAAGUCCUCUGCGACAGCUAGGAGGCGGGCACUCUCGCCUCCUUCCUCAGCAUCUAUUAUAAUGUCUCUAAUGAUACCCCAGUAACUGAAAAAAGCCGUGGACACUGGGUCGCCGGCUUUCAAAAGCCUAUUAAUCUCCUGACCAACCUUAUUCCAAGUAUGGGGGUGAAUAUUGGGGCCACUUAAAAUUAACCAAGGACAUUUUUCAUCUAUGAAACAAAAAAACUUGAUUAAAUCCUUUUUCUUAACUCUUAUUCCUCUCUCCCUGAGUAAACGCUUGAUUUCUCUUAUGAAACAAGCCUCCUUAGACAAUACCUUCCCCAUGGCAAUUAGACGACAAUUAUUCGACCGGUCCUUACCUCCCUCUCCAGCGACGCACGAGCUAUACGGCCUGAAGAGUCCUCGAUUCCCGCUGCAGCUCUCUUAUCUCCGUCGUCCUGUAGUCGGCCUUGCUUCGGGGUCCCUGUUCGGGCGCCACUUGUCCCCGCCAGCGGGGAGCCAGUUAUUCAGGGUCCCAAAGAGGCUUUCUACUUGUGGGCCAAAAUGGGGGUGAAGAGAAGAAGGAGACCAAGCAAAAAUUCUGUUGUCAAGGUCUCAUUUAUUGGGAUGAACAUUGCAGCUUUUAAGGCUUUCAGGUAGGGGGAGUGACCUUUGUGAAAUAUGAAGGAGGGGGAGAUGAGGGUAUAGGCAGUGAUAGCUGGAGGCAAAGAAGUCAGGCGAUGAGGUCAGGUGGUGGAGACACUGGGUGUUGACUGAGGAGAUAACUGGUAUCUGCUCGAGCAGAGGCAUCCCUUGAAUGUUAUACUCCUGUGCCGUAAAUUCAUGGGAGAGGCUUUAUCCAACAAUCUUUUUUUUUUUUUUUAUUAACUUGAGUAU